rnacentral:rRNA from 1 species
AUAUUAUUAAGCGGAGGAAAAGAAACUAACAAGGAUUCCCUGAGUAAUGGCGAAUGAAAAGGGAAAAGCUCAAGAUUGAAUCGGGUGUCCCUCUGCGGGCAUUUCGAGUUGUAAUCUAUGGACGGUGUGAUGGACACGUAGACCUGGGCAUAAACCUUUGAAAAAAGGUGUCAUAGUAGGUGAUAACCCCAUCUAUGAACUGGUGUUUGCGUGUACUCU